rnacentral:piRNA from 1 species
GGGGGCUGGAGAGAUAGCUCAGCAG